GUGCUCACUACAGCAGCACAUACAAUAAAAUUGAACAAUAUAGAGAAGAUUAAUAUGGCCUAUGACCAAGAUGGCAUGAAAAUUUGUGUAGGAUUGCAUAGUUUU
rnacentral:snRNA from 1 species